rnacentral:rRNA from 1 species
AGUGAACGCUGGCGGUAGGCCUAACACAUGCAAGUCGAACGGCAGCACAGUAAGAGCUUGCUCUUACGGGUGGCGAGUGGCGGACGGGUGAGGAAUACAUCGGAAUCUACUUUUUCGUGGGGGAUAACGUAGGGAAACUUACGCUAAUAUCGCAUACGACCUACGGGUGAAAGCAGGGGAUCUUCGGACCUUGCGCGAUUGAAUGAGCCGAUGUCGGAUUAGCUAGUUGGCGGGGUAAAGGCCCACCAAGGCGACGAUCGGUAGCUGGUCUGAGAGGAUGAUCGGCCACACUGGAACUGAGACACGGUCCAGACUCCUACGGGAGGCAGCAGUGGGGAAUAUUGGACAAUGGGCGCAAGCCUGAUCCAGCCAUACCGCGUGGGUGAAGAAGGCCUUCGGGUUGUAAAGCCCUUUUGUUGGGAAAGAAAAGCAGCAGGUUAAUACCCCGCUGUUCUGACGGUACCCAAAGAAUAAGCACCGGCUAACUUCGUG